rnacentral:rRNA from 1 species
GAUGAACGCUGGCGGCGUGCUUAACACAUGCAAGUCGAACGGUGAAGGCGGAGCUUGCUCUGCUGGAUCAGUGGCGAACGGGUGAGUAACACGUGAGCAAUCUGCCCCUGACUCUGGGAUAAGCGCUGGAAACGGCGUCUAAUACUGGAUACGAGCUGCGAAGGCAUCUUCAGCAGCUGGAAAGAAUUUCGGUCAGGGAUGAGCUCGCGGCCUAUCAGCUUGUUGGUGAGGUAAUGGCUCACCAAGGCGUUGACGGGUAGCCGGCCUGAGAGGGUGACCGGCCACACUGGGACUGAGACACGGCCCAGACUCCUACGGGAGGCAGCAGUGGGGAAUAUUGCACAAUGGGCGAAAGCCUGAUGCAGCAACGCCGCGUGAGGGACGACGGCCUUCGGGUUGUAAACCUCUUUUAGCAGGGAAGAAGCGAAAGUGACGGUACCUGCAGAAAAAGCGCCGGCUAACUACGUG